rnacentral:lncRNA from 1 species
AGUGGACGUCCAGUCUCGGUACGACGACACGGUCUUUGGACGACAUCUUUACCACAAAAUUAACCAAUACCGACCACUGGACUUCAUUAUCACAAGUCUUGCCCAUGAGCGAAAAGAAAUUAAAUUCGUCAAGAGCGACAUUCUUUCCUUGGGAAAUUUGCUUCUGAAGCAGAUCGUCAAAUUCAGGAACGAGGUUGACAUUAGACAGGUUGCUGUGGUUCUGAGUUUACCAUGGGGAGAUGACACCGACGAGUUCCGUAAAAUUUACGAGAUCUUCGAGGGCUUGGCGUGCGCAGGUUACAAGUUCGUCAGAGUUGAACCUGUCACGAUUUAUAGCAAGACCAUCCACGUAAAGGAGACCAACCGAUCCUACCAUCCUGCCUUCACUGUCAACUUCAUCAAGGAUCUCAACUUUUCCCCAUUAGAAGAUUGAUUUGAGCAACUUUAUAUCAACUUUUCACCACAACUAAAUUUAAAAUGCCAACUUCGCCUCAACUUGAGCCCAAUAUGAAAUUGAAGUGCCUAAGUUAUAAACUAUGAACUUUAUAUUCAGUUAACCUUCCCUUAAAAUAACAAUAGUAAAAUAACCUCGCCGCCAUUUAUUCUUUCAAUAAAAUGUAAAUGUCCUAAUUACCAGGGCUUUCCAACCUUAUAUCAUUGAAUAAACUAACAUCACAGUAAAAAUUUCGUUAUAAAACUAGAUUCCCUAUAACGUAAAUAAUAGCUAUACGUUUAAAAAUUACUAUUUAAAGACAGCACUUCUAAAAAAUCCAAUGACUCCAAUGUAAACAUUUA